UACAGAGGUCUCAAGCGUUGUUCGGAAUCACUGGGCGUAAAGCGUGCGUAGGCUGUUUCGUAAGUCGUGUGUGGAAGGCGCGGGCUCAACCCGCGGACGGCACAUGAUACUGCGAGACUAGAGUAAUGGAGGGGGAACCGGAAUUCUCAGUGUAGCAGUGAAAUGCGUAGAUAUCGAGAGGAACACUCGUGGCGAAGGCGGGUUCCUGGACAUUAACUGACGCUGAGGCACGAAGGCCAGGGGAGCGAAAGGG
rnacentral:rRNA from 1 species